CCGCGCCAUGAUGAUCACUAUUUUAUAUAGAAUAAAUAUAGGCUACAUAAAAUGCGAUGUAAUAUAUUAGUUUAGACUGGAAAAUACUGGUAAAAGAAGACACAAAAAAGGCUAAUAUUAUACAGUGUAUCAAGACAUUACAAACCAGUAAUGGAUGGAGAGGUUCACGUUCAGGCGCACAGGCCCGGGAGAGGCUGGAGGCUCGCGGUGGUCCUGUCUGUUCAGAGCGCGCUCGUGGCAGUUUGUUUGACUCUAAGCUUCUACUGCCUCUGUCUCGAGCAUCGACGGUUCCAGGGGUCUGAGAGGCCGGAAAAGAGUGAGAGUGAGAUCUAUAUCUUUGCCUCUAUUGCAAACUCUCCAGUCAUGCCAAACAGUGAACCAGUGAAUUUUAUUAAGAAUGAUGUUGGCCAUAAUAUGAGUCUCAGCGAGAAGAGUGAGAUCCAGGUCGGCUGUAUUGGUCCUUACAUGCUGUACAUAGAUGUCAGCUGCGAGGGUCUGGAUGGGCAGACAGGCAACGGGACCCUUGAGCUGAGGAUGGGGGGAAGGGAGCUGGCCAGCUUCAGCCUACAGGCCACAGAGGAGAACUGUAGGAAGUCUCUCCUCCUCCACCAGACGGUGUACCUCAGGAAUGGAGAGAAGGCCACUCUACACUUCACCUCGAAAGGCAAGGAGACGACCUUGGCGGUGAAGAAGCUGACCCUGGGACUACACUACAUGCUGGGGACGCAAUGUCAACACUGAGGGGCUGGGGACAACAUGCACACACACACACACACACACACACACACACACACACACACACACACACACACACACACACACACACACACACACACACACACACACACACACACAUAUGCUUGAACAAGAAAAUGUAAGAAUUGUUUUAAAGAUGAUAUUCAGGGAAUGAUGAUGAAUGUAUAAAUGAUGCAAAUCUUUAUUUUAGUUGAUAUAAUAUCAACUGACAUGUCAUGAACUUUCAUGAAAAUUAUGAUUCCAUUGGUCUUUAUAGUAGAUGCUAUAGUAGUAGAUAAGGUGCAUGGGUUUUCAGUUUUAUGCAACUUUAUGGUAAU
rnacentral:lncRNA from 1 species